UCUAUAAACAUUCACACUACCUUUGCUUAUGGUUUAAGUACACUGUGGCUUGAAGGUUGCUAUUUUUUCUAGUAUUUUCAUAUAUUUCUUUAAGGUAAUUUUCAACAUUCUAAUUAGUAGUCUCUGUAUCCUGCAGAAUCUGAAUCUCAUUAAAGGAAGUCAAUGUGAAAAUAGGAUUUACUUGCAAAUCUUUAUUUUUAAAAAAAAAUCUUCCAGUUUUUAAAAUAUGGCUAGACUUUAAUCUAUUAAGUGAGAAUAUCAAAAGUGAUAAAAUUCUAUGUCAGAUCUUAUAUACCACAUUAAAAAAUAACUUUAAAAAAUCAUCAUGUGCUUCCAAUUAUGAUAAUUAGACAUCCCACUUUGAACAGUGUUCUACUCUACAAACUUAAAAGGUUAGCCUUUAAAAAAAAAAAAUCACAAAACAGUCUCCCAAAGUACAAACUCGUACCAACAAACUCCAAAUCAGAUACUAAUAAAGCAAACACUGAAGACCAUCUUACCAUUGUCUACUGCUUCUAACGGAAUGCAGUUAUUAUUUCAUAAGCAGACUUUAGAUCCAGGAAUAAAAAAAGACAAAAAGAACUCAAGAGUUUAUGGAUCAAUAAAAUAAAACUCUUUCUAUAUAUGUCCUGAAAUCACGGAGAAAUUUAAGGAAAGAUGGGCAUAACAGGCAAUGGAUCUGCUUUUGGGGAAAAAGGCAUACUCCUUCUUGCAUAUCCAGAAAUCUCUAUCAUUCCACUUCCUAUCCUAUUUUAUUUGAGGUUCCAUUCUUUCAUGCCUUUCUCUUUCUUAUUUUUGAAAACACGAGAGAGGUUCUUUUCCACUAUUCUUGCCUAAUUGAAAGGCAUGAAUCAAUUUUGAGCAACAUGAAUGGCAUUACUUAUUUCAAACUACCCAAAUGAGAGGCAAAAGGCUAAUCUACUGUCACCGUCCACCUGCAAAUCCAUGCACAGGAGUGGUGCUGUUCUUGGGACUCCCUUGGACAUGUGAUAGCCAACAACAAAAGGUGCAUGAGAAAAGUUUAAAUGAAGUUUAAUAAUUAGAAUAAGCCCAUAAACAGAUGUGGAACAGGAAGUAAAGCCUCUGAAAGAGGUACUACAAAUGUUCAGCCAUGUCUUGUGCAUUUUAUAAAAUGCUUGGAUGCUGAAAAUCCAAUGCUAAAUUUACAUUUUAGAUUUGGAAAUAAUGAUACCUAGUCUUUAAAAACCUAUUCAUUCUUUGGCUCAUCGUUUUUAAAAAAGAUCUUAUUCAAUUUAGCAAAUAUAUAAACAAACAUAUUUUUAUUCCAUGGUCCCUAUGCCCUAUACUCGCACACUCUAAUUUGUUUCAGUGGACAGGAAACGCACCGUAUCCCCCUGCCUGGAUGGGUGUUUUUGGAGAAGCGCAAGCAUAGAGACUAAAAUCCUCUGUUUGGAAGCCAGCCCGAUUCAAGGAGGGUUCUGAUGCACUGCGGUGAAUUUUUGGCAAUGAGCGGGCCAGCAGCUCAAUAGAGGCGAGAAUCUAAAAAAGGAAAAGGAAAAAAAGAAAAAAGGUAGAAUGAAAAUCUAGGUGUUAUUAAUCUUUAAAAUCCCCAUCAUACUUUACAAGAAAGCACCUGAAAUCUUACAUUGUUUUUGGUUUAUCCU